rnacentral:rRNA from 1 species
UACGUAGGGUGCAAGCGUUGUCCGGAUUUACUGGGCCUAAAGAGCGUGUAGGCGGCCACGCAGGUCCGUUGUGAAAACUGGAGGCUCAACCUCCAGCUGUCGACGGAAACCGUAUGGCUAGAGUCCGGAAGAGGAGACUGGAAUUCAUGGUGUAGCAGUGAAAUGCGUAGAGAUCAUGAGGAAGACCAGUGGCGAAGGCGGGUCGUCUGGACAGUUCCUGACACUGAGGCACGAAGGCCAGGGGAGCAAACGGG